ACACUCCUGCGGGAGGCAGCAGUGGGGAAUAUUGCACAAUGGGCGCAAGCCUGAUGCAGCCAUGCCGCGUGUAUGAAGAAGGCCUUCGGGUUGUAAAGUACUUUCAGCGGGGAGGAAGGCAAUACGGUUAAUAACCGUGUUGAUUGACGUUACCCGCAGAAGAAGCACCGGCUAACUCCGUGACAGCAGCCGCGGUAAUACGGAGGGUGCAAGCGUUAAUCGGAAUUACUGGGCGUAAAGCGCACGCAGGCGGUCUGUCAAGUCGGAUGUGAAAUCCCCGGGCUCAACCUGGGAACUGCAUUCGAAACUGGCAGGCUUGAGUCUUGUAGAGGGGGGUAGAAUUCCAGGUGUAGCGGUGAAAUGCGUAGAGAUCUGGAGGAAUACCGGUGGCGAAGGCGGCCCCCUGGACAAAGACUGACGCUCAGGUGCGAAAGCGUGGGGAGCAAACAGGAUUAGAAACCCCAGUAGUCCCA
rnacentral:rRNA from 1 species